ensembl:lncRNA SNHG12 small nucleolar RNA host gene 12
CUCCUGCCUCAGCCUCCCGGGUAGCUGGGACUACAGGCGCCCGCGACCACGCCCGGCUAAUUUUUUUUUGUAUUUUUUUUUAGUAGAGACCGGGUUUCGCCGUGUUAGCCAGGAUGGUCUCGAUCUCCUGACCUCGUGAUCCACCCGCCUUGGCCUCCCAAAGUGCUGGGAUUACAGGCGUGAGUAACCGCACCCGGCAGUAGUACCUACUUUUUAAAGUGUAAGCAAGGAAAGUUGGCCCGCACCUGUAGUCCCAUCUACCUGGGAGGCUGAGGUGGAAGAAUUGCUUGAGCCCAGUUGGUCGAGGCUGCAAUGAGCCUUGAUCACGCCACUGCACUCCAGCCUGGGCAACAGAACAAGACCCUGUCUCAAACAAAAAAGUGUAUGUAAGAAUAAAAAUUAAUAGAUUAGGCACAGGAUGGGUGUUUAAUUCUCGGCAAUCACCACUAAGUUUUCAUACUGAGGCUUAUUCAUUCCAUGGGCAAAACAUUGCGCUAUGUGUGGUGCCUGGGGUGGGCUCCAAAUUCCAGUCCUCUCCUCGCUUGCGAUAGCUGUGUGAUCCAUUCCUAAGUUUCCUUAUUUGUCCACAGAGCGUACACAGGGUUUUUAUGAAAACUAGAUCAGAUAAUCAGACACAGUUAAAAUAGCACGCGCUCAGUAAAAUUACAUAUUAGUGGAAGAGACAAGCCUUGAAUAAAUCGCCUUUCGGGGAGUAUGACCCCCUCCCCGAAACCCACUCAGGCGCUGCUCGCUCGCACGCCCACUGAGCUCGGAGCGGAGCCCGAGCCCUUUCCCAGCACACAGGGUUCAUUUCCAGACUGAAAGACAUCCCAGAGACAACUCCAGAGGCCAAGGCGGGUCGGCUUCCUGCGUGGGCCCAGCGCCGGGCACUGAAAGGUGAAGGCGCUUCUUCCGCUCGGAGGAAAGCCUCUGGCGGUUCUCGCUUCGCGGGCUCGGGAUGGACACGCGCGUAGGGCUGGGGAGGUGACGCGCGGACAACGCCGGGGCGAGCAAACUACAACUCCCAGGCAGCUGUGCGCCACGCGGGCGGCCUACUGUCGGGUGUGGCCGCGAGGGGCGGCCUAUAUAAGCUCUUGCUCGCGGCUUCAGCGCCCUUUCUCCCCGCCGCAUUCCCGGUGUCGACUUACUAGCUGCAAGCCUCUGCCUGCCUUCCUGCGCGCCGUUCCCCGCUAGUCGCUGCUGCUGGCGCGCACUCGCCGGGUUUUUCCUCCCACGGCCUCGAGAUGGUGGUGAAUGUGGCACGGAGGAGCCGGGCCUUCCAACCCGGUGGGCCCGAGCUCCGAAAGGCCCCCUCGGCAGUGAGAGGGGCGGGAGCCCGCGGGGGCCGCGCCCUUCUCUCGCUUCGGACUGCGCAACGCUGCGCUCUGGGCUGACAGGCGGAUAAAACGGUCCCAUCAAGACUGAGAAAAAGCACACCAGCUAUUGGCACAGCGUGGGCAGUGGGGCCUACAGGAUGACUGACUUAGUCUACAGAGAUCCCGGCGUACUUAAGCAGAUGAAGACUCUUAAGAUGACAGAAGGUGAUUUUUCUGGUGAUCGAGGACUUCCGGGGUAAUGACAGUGAUGAAAUGCAGGGGACCUGGUUGCCCCCAAGUUUCCUGGCAGUGUGUGAUACUGAGGAGGUGAGCUUGUUUCUGGAGCUGUGCUUUAAGAUUCAUGUUACAUGUAAAGCUGUCCUCAUUUGUGACUAUGGACCUAUGGAGUUGGGACAAUCUCUAUGGGAAGCAGAAGGCAAGGACCCCGGUCAUUUUAGGUAGAAACAACAGCAUGCUAAUGCAAAAAAUUAUGCAGUGUGCUACUGAACUUCAGAGGUGAUCAAUAAAAGAAGAAUAAAAAGACUAAUAAAAGUA